rnacentral:rRNA from 1 species
UACGAAGGGGGGCUAGCGUUGCUCGGAAUCACUGGGCGUAAAGGGCGCGUAGGCGGCGUUUUUAAGUCGGGGGUGAAAGCCUGUGGCUCAACCACAGAAUGGCCUUCGAUACUGGGACGCUUGAGUAUGGUAGAGGUUGGUGGAACUGCGAGUGUAGAGGUGAAAUUCGUAGAUAUUCGCAAGAACACCGGUGGCGAAGGCGGCCAACUGGACCAUUACUGACGCUGAGGCGCGAAAGCGUGGGGAGCAAACAGG